GAAUAUUGCGCAAUGGGCGAAAGCCUGACGCAGCCAUGCCGCGUGUGUGAAGAAGGCCUUCGGGUUGUAAAGCACUUUCGGCCGGAACGAAAUCGCGUGGGCUAACACCCCGCGUGGAUGACGGUACCGGAAGAAGAAGCACCGGCUAACUACGUUCCAGCAGCCGCGGUAAUACGUAGGGUGCGAGCGUUAAUCGGAAUUACUGGGCGUAAAGUGUGCGCAGGUGGCCGCGCAAGUCGAGUGUGAAAGCCCCGGGCUUAACUUGGGAAUUGCGCUCGAAACUACGUGGCUAGAGUGUGGCAGAGGGAGGUGGAAUUCCACGUGUAGCGGUGAAAUGCGUAGAGAUGUGGAGGAACACCAAUGGCGAAGGCAGCCUCCUGGGCCAACACUGACACUCAUGCACGAAAGCGUGGGGAGCAAACAGG
rnacentral:rRNA from 1 species